UUGAAUGACAAUGAGGAGACUGUCACCUGUUCUGCUGUCAGUGUAUGACUAAGACAGAAGAUGGAGACAGAGAGGUGCAGAGAAACCACACCUGUUGCCAAACAGGGGGAACUGUUUAUAUGCAGUUUUGGACUCAAUAUGCAGUUUUGGACUCAAUUAUUGAUUAUCAUGGGAGCCCGACUCGUCUGCUCCACUGAUCUCCUGAGGCCCACUUCCGCAGUGUGAAAGAGAAAGUCUGGAAAACUGCAUCCUGAUUAUGUGAGGAAAUUGUAUCUUCAGCCAUCAUCGAUUCCGCCAUUAUUUUUGAAAACACUUUCUGGCAUUCGACAUCAUGGUUCCUGUGGCGAGCUAUGGAGGUCACCAGUCAACGUGUCCGACAGGCCCAUGAAUAAGAGAAGACUGUUAUCUGUCCCGGCUCACCUGGGGACACUGCGAGAUGGAACAAAUGGGAGAGCCAG